CCUUCAUUUCCACCCCCCCCCCCCCUCUCUCUCUUCCGUCGUCGCCGUCGCCGGCUAGGAGGUGGGGAACUGAGGAUGAUGAUGACGCGAGCCCCGAUGGGGUCGAUGGAGGGCGCGGCAGUGGACGAGGUGGUGCGGCGGCUGGUGGAGGGUGGCCGCGGCGGGCGGCAGGUGCAGCUGUCGGAGGCGGAGAUCCGGCAGCUGUGCGUCGAGGGAAAGCGGGUGCUUCUCUCCCAGCCAAACCUCCUCCGAAUCCACGCCCCCGUCAAGAUCUGUGGUGAUAUCCAUGGCCAGUUUGUUGACCUUCUGAGAUUGUUUGAUUUGGGUGGUUAUCCUCCAGCGUCAACUUACGUAUUCCUUGGAGACUAUGUUGAUAGAGGCAAACAGAGUUUGGAAACUAUAUGCUUGCUCCUGGCAUACAAAAUCAGGUACCCUGAAAAGAUUUUCCUGUUAAGGGGGAACCAUGAAGAUGCAAAAAUCAACAGAGUUUAUGGUUUCUAUGAUGAAUGUAAGAGGAGGUUCAAUGUUCGACUGUGGAAGAUAUUCUCUGAUUGCUUCAACUGCCUGCCGAUUGCAGCACUCAUUGAUGACAAGAUACUGUGCAUGCAUGGUGGUCUCUCACCUGAAUUGAAUAGUUUGGACCAAAUAAAGGAUAUUGAGAGGCCUGCUGAGAUUCCUGAUUAUGGCCUGCUGUGUGAUUUGCUUUGGUCUGAUCCUAGCCCCGAUGGAGAAGGGUGGGGGGAGAGUGACAGAGGUGUUUCAUGUACGUUCGGCGCAGAUAAGCUUGUAGAGUUUUUGGAGAAGAAUGAUCUCGAUCUUAUAUGCCGAGCUCAUCAGGUGGUUGAAGAUGGUUACGAGUUCUUUGCGCAACGGAGAUUAGUGACAAUCUUCUCAGCUCCAAAUUAUUGUGGAGAAUUUGAUAAUGUUGGUGCUCUAUUGAGCAUAGAUGAAAGCCUAAUGUGCUCAUUUCAGAUCCUGAAGCCAAGCGACACAGGUCCACCGCAUGCAAGAAAACAAAUUCCAAAUAAGCCAUCAAGAGGGUGAAACGUUCGAUCAGCGUCUAAUUCUUUCAGUAUCAUUAUCAUCAAUCAGCUCAAAGGGGCAAGGGGGUGAUCUAUUGUUUGGAAUUUGAUCCACCAGGGCAUGGCAUUGUGCAUUCAAUUUCAAUCCCCUUGCUUACUUAACAAGCCGUUCUUAGCGUUAAGCCGUGCACCUUCUCAUGUACAGCAUUAAGUCGGAUUCAGCACCAUCUGUUCUGAUUGUUCUUUCUUUUGCUGCUGGCACAGGGACUUGAUUGGCAGCAUGACUUCCACUUUUGAUUUUUGCUAGUCUGUGACGAGAGCUGCUCGUAUUAACAUAGAAAGAUAGUUCGAGUACAACACGCCCCAUUUUGGUUUACAUUACGCGCCACAUACAAAUUAAGAACGACCUCAUAGGCUACUUUUGAGACUAUGAUCGACCCACAGCAAGCUGUGACAACCCUUUGGUGUUCGUUCGGUUGAAGCAGGACCUUGGACACCAAAUCCGAACGUCCAGGUACUCCGAAAAGAUGGUGCACCACGGAGAUCCUGAAUCCAUCGGCGUCCCAACAGGGCCUCUUGGAUUGUGCCGCUGUGUAAUAUGUAGUAGUUGGAGGAAAGGUCUGAACAAAUGACUUGGUUACUUUAUGCCAUUCUUUCUACCUCCCUUUCAUUUGUCUCUAGUGUGGAAGCGAUGAUUUUUAUCUCAUGUAAGGGAAUAGUGGUUACCAUGUUCA